rnacentral:rRNA from 1 species
AUAUCAAUAAGCGGAGGAAAAGAAACCAACAGGGAUUGCCUCAGUAGCGGCGAGCGAAGCGGCAACAGCUCAAAUUUGAAAUCUGGCCUCGGCCCGAGUUGUAAUUUGUAGAGGAUGCUUUUGGUGCGGUACUUUCCGAGUUCCCUGGAACGGGACGCCUUAGAGGGUGAGAGCCCCGUACGGUUGGAUACCUAGCCUCUGUAAAGCUCCUUCGACGAGUCGAGUAGUUUGGGAGUGCAGCUCUAAAUGGGUGGUAAAUUCCAUCUAAAGCUAAAUAUUGGCGAGAGACCGAUAGCGCACAAGUA